rnacentral:rRNA from 1 species
UACAGAGGUCUCAAGCGUUUGUUCGGAUUCAUUGGGCGUAAAGGGUGCGUAGGCGGCGCGGUAAGUCGGGUGUGAAAUCUCGGGGCUUAACUCCGAAACUGCAUUCGAUACUGCCGUGCUUGAGGACUGGAGAUGGAGACUGGAAAUUUACGGUGUAGCGGUGAAAUGCGUAGAUAUCUGGAGGAAUACCGGUGGCGAAGGCGGCAUCCUGGACCGGCAUUGACGCUGAGUGAGCGAAAGCCAGGGGAGCAACGG